UACGUAGGGUGCAAGCGUUAAUCGGAAUUAUUGGGCGUAAAGAGCUCGUAGGCGGCUUGUCACGUCGGAUGUGAAAGCCCGAGGCUUAACCUCGGGUCUGCAUUCGAUACGGGCUAGCUAGAGUGUGGUAGGGGAGAUCGGAAUUCCUGGUGUAGCGGUGAAAUGCGCAGAUAUCAGGAGGAACACCGGUGGCGAAGGCGGAUCUCUGGGCCAUUACUGACGCUGAGGAGCGAAAGCGUGGGGAGCGAACAGG
rnacentral:rRNA from 1 species